rnacentral:ncRNA from 2 species
AUAGUAACGAUAGGCUGCCUUCAUAUAAAUCUGAUAAUCUGGUUCGGAUGUUUCUACUAAGUUACCUUAAUAACUUAUCUAUGAGGGCGGGUACUGUUGUG